rnacentral:rRNA from 1 species
CCUACGGGUGGCAGCAGUGAGGAAUAUUGGUCAAUGGACGAGAGUCUGAACCAGCCAAGUAGCGUGAAGGAUGACUGCCCUAUGGGUUGUACACUUCUUUUAUAUGGGAAUAAAAUGUUCCACGUGUGGGAUUUUGUAUGUACCAUAUGAAUAAGGAUCGGCUAACUCCGUGCCAGCAGCCGCGGUAAUACGGAGGAUCCGAGCGUUAUCCGGAUUUAUUGGGUUUAAAGGGAGCGUAGAUGGGUUGUUAAGUCAGUUGUGAAAGUUUGCGGCUCAACCGUAAAAUUGCAAUUGAUACUGGCAGUCUUGAGUACAGUUGAGGUAGGCGGAAUUCGUGGUGUAGCGGUGAAAUGCUUAGAUAUCACGAAGAACUCCGAUUGCGAAGGCAGUUUACUAAACUGCCACUGACAUUGAUGCUCGAAAGUGUGGGUAUCAAACAGGAUUAGAUACCCCGGUAGUC